UCCCAAAAAUCCCCCAUACUCUCCCCCCCCCCACUUCCCUACCCACCCAUUCCCAUUUUUUUGGCCCUGGCGUUCCCCUGUAUUGGGGCAUAUACAGUUUGCGUAUCCAAUGGGCCUCUCUAUCUCAAUUUUUAAACUUAAACGGUUUUUUUCUUUUUUAUUAAUUUAUUUAUUCACUUUACAUCCUGUGCACAUGCCCUAUGGUGUCAGGGUCUCAAACAUAUUGUCAUGCAUGUGAGAAGGUUAGAGACAGGAGUCAGUUCUCUCCUUCAACUAUGGGAUCAGCUCAUAUCACCCAGCUUGUAAGAGAAGAGCUUUUACCUAUUGAGCCAUCUUGCUGGUACUCACCUCCACUUUGACACAUCAUUGUAAGUAGGUAGGUUGACUCCACCGGGGUUCCUAAUUCAGUCCAGUUUUUCCUCUAUUCUGAACAUGGCACUGAAAUGCUUUCUUGGUGUCAAUAAGUUACAUUUGAGAAUGUGACUAAAGACUUAUUUCAGGGAAGCAAAACUGACCACAGUUAGCUGUCAAAGGUUUUCUUUAUCUGUGCAUGUGCUUCCCUCAAUCUGUCUACUUGGUUGUACAUGUCUGUAGUAGUGUUUACAUUCUCUAACUCAUCAAAACUUUACUUAAGUUCUUCUGUCUUAUUUUGCUUAUUUUCCUUUUAGAGGACACGGAGACAAACAGUGCUGACACUUCUGAAACUGCUGAUUCUACUGGUGGAAAUACUGGCUCUGAAACUCAGGCAGAUAGUACCAGUCAAAAUCAAGAAGUUGAUUCCUCUGAUUCAGUCAAUGAACAAAGUGUGAACACUGAUAAUACCAACACUGCUAAUGAUGCUUCUGAGGAAGACAAGAGACAGAUGAUAACAGUACCGGGGAUAAUACCUCUGAUCAGAACAAUGACGUUGACAACUCUGAAAAGAAGUUGCCAAUGCAAAAACUAAAUUUGAAGACCUCAAAACCGGUUUAAAAAAAAAAACAUUUCAACUAAUUUUGUUCUUUAUGGAACUCUCUGAAUCCUUAGGUUCCCCAUGGCUACAGUGAACUGUACUUUCAUGAGGAAGUAGGAGAGGGUAAGGAGAGGGAGAAGAAGAGACCCUUCUUUUUUUCCUCUUUUCUAAGUUCAUCAUAUUGUUUAUAUAUAAGCACCAGAAGGAUCAGAAGUUGAUCAAGAGUAUGCUAUCAAUUUUAGCUGCAUCUAUCUUUCAAUAUUAGAUCUGUUGGAGACAAUGUAAAUACAGCAGAAAUCAUUGAAAGUGUCAAGUGUCUCCAUGUAGCAUGGCAACUGCAUGGCUUUUCUUUUUCUUAAAUAAAAGUCAUGUUUUCUUUGGAGACUAUUCUAAAAAUUGAAAUAGAAAAUGGCUUUGUGAUGAGGUCUUCAUGGAUGACUGUUAAAACAUAAAUCAGGAGACUUCUUAAAGUUUAAAAAUUUAUUUAGCAUGAGGGUUUUUUUUUCCUAGCCCUUCAACUUUAAAGUAAUACCCAUUAUAUUAUACUGUAUCAUAUUUUAUGCAUAUGUCAAGCAUCAUUUUAUAAAAUUCACAUUUCUGAUCUGA